AUUGAACGCUGGCGGCAGGCCUAACACAUGCAAGUCGGGCGGAUGAAGGGAGCUUGCUCCUGGAUUCAGCGGCGGACGGGUGAGUAAUGCCUAGGAAUCUGCCUGGUAGUGGGGGAUAACGUCCGGAAACGGGCGCUAAUACCGCAUACGUCCUGAGGGAGAAAGUGGGGGAUCUUCGGACCUCACGCUAUCAGAUGAGCCUAGGUCGGAUUAGCUAGUUGGUGGGGUAAAGGCCUACCAAGGCGACGAUCCGUAACUGGUCUGAGAGGAUGAUCAGUCACACUGGAACUGAGACACGGUCCAGACUCCUACGGGAGGCAGCAGUGGGGAAUAUUGGACAAUGGGCGAAAGCCUGAUCCAGCCAUGCCGCGUGUGUGAAGAAGGUCUUCGGAUUGUAAAGCACUUUAAGUUGGGAGGAAGGGCGGUAAGUUAAUACCUUGCUGUUUUGACGUUACCAACAGAAUAAGCACCGGCUAACUUCGUG
rnacentral:rRNA from 1 species